rnacentral:lncRNA from 1 species
CAGUUAUUUGAUGAUUUAUUUCGAUUGUGUAAAGAAUGACAGUUAACGAAUCUCAAGAUCAACCACUGAAGAUUGUUUGGCUUGAUGCGAUGACCUUAAACAGUUAAAGGAUUAUCCAGGAAGGUCUAUACACCACAAGCUGGAUUUUUUGGGGUGAUGAAAGAACUAUGAAUAUGUGAAUGGGAAUGAAACAGAAGAAAUUAAUAUGUUCUACUGAUCAUCCAGCUGAAAUCAGGCCUAUGGAAUAGAGUAUAUGACACAAAUACUGAUAUGAGCAAAUAACUACAUAUUGCACAAAUAAGGUCAUGUUUCCUGCCCUCAUGACCUGAAAAAGUUAAACAUUCUAAUUCAAAUUACAAAUGUGUUUCAAGAAAAAGUAAAACUUAGUCAACUGUGAGAAAUAUUGGGUUAAAGUAUUUUAUAAGUGUUUUGUUGCCAUGACAGCUGUGAAGUGGUUUGAAAAGCACUAUCUUAAUUGUUCUAACAAUACAGAAUUUAACUUAUGAAUUUUCCAAAACUGCAUGCAUAAAAUACUAAGACAUGUCUGUUGAAUGAAUCCUAGUUGUUUCAAAACUACAACAUGUGUGACAUUUAAAGCACAACCUUUGGAUGAAACAUUUUUCAAUCAUAACUGCCUUGCCUGUGUGAGUGUAAGAAGGAUUUCCCAGAAAUGGCCAUGACAGAAAACUUCUAAUAUAGCAGAAAAUAUUUGUUACUGGCUAAAUAUAAUAAUUAUAUUUUAUUUCAAGAAUUAAUCAUGUAAAUCCAUGGUUAUAAUUGUGUUGAAAGAUAUUUUUACAUGAACUUUGCAGAAAUAGCUAAUUUUUGUUGCAAAACAUUGUGAGUUGCCAUGGUAACACAAAUUUGACUUAAAUUUAGAUUUAUUUGAUAAGGUAGACAGCAUGUUUCUUGUUUACAUUCUGCUAAUCAGACUAUGUUCUGCAAGAAAAUAUCUUUUAUGUGUAAUCAUUGCAACAACAAAACAUGUCAUAACACAAAUCUGCCAUAAAAUGGCAGAGUUGUAAUGCAGGUAGGCAUAUCAGAAAAAUAUGUAAUUCUCAAAGUGUCAAAUUAUAUUACAUGAAAUAUGUUUCUUUGUGUGUUUUUUUUUUAUAAAUGAUCAUAACUGACCAUUUGUGGUGUAAAACAAAUGUAUACUGAACAGAUGCUAAAUGAAUGUUCUGAUUCUUUCUGG